UACGAAGGGGGGCUAGCGUUACUCGGAUUGACUGGGCGUAAAGGGCGCGUAGGCGGAUGGUACAGUCAGGACGAGAAAUUCCUGGGCUCAACCUGGGGGCUGCGUUUUGAUACGUGCUGUCUGGAGUUCGGAAGAGGGUCGUGGAAUUCCCAGUGUAGAGGUGAAAUUCGUAGAUAUUGGGAAGAACACCGGUGGCGAAGGCGGCGACCUGGUCCGAUACUGGACGCUGAGGCGCGAAAGCGUGGGGGAGCAAACAGG
rnacentral:rRNA from 1 species